AGCUCCAAUGAGCUUAGGGGCAAAUGAAUGGCAAAGAAGGAAAGUCAUUGGCCUCGUGUCUGGAUGAAUGAGGACUGCAUCCUAUCAUACCAAGGUAUUGACUCAGUCAGCAACCUUAACUCACACUCUGUAUUUUGCUUGGUUACCCAUAUGGCCAACUGACUACUGACUCUAGAGAGUAACACUAAAACUAAGGGGCUAAUCAAUUCUUAGAUGAAAUUCUUCCAGUUCCCUUGUCUUUCAGAGUCAGGGCUAUCCCUUUAUGCAAUGACCAUUGAGCAAAAACGGAGACAGCAGCAUUUGGAGUCUGUGGU
rnacentral:lncRNA from 1 species